GACGAACGCUGGCGGCGUGCUUAACACAUGCAAGUCGAACGGAAAGGCCCUGCUUUUGUGGGGUGCUCGAGUGGCGAACGGGUGAGUAACACGUGAGUAACCUGCCCUUGACUUUGGGAUAACUUCAGGAAACUGGGGCUAAUACCGGAUAGGAGCUCCUGCUGCAUGGUGGGGGUUGGAAAGUUUCGGCGGUUGGGGAUGGACUCGCGGCUUAUCAGCUUGUUGGUGGGGUAGUGGCUUACCAAGGCUUUGACGGGUAGCCGGCCUGAGAGGGUGACCGGCCACAUUGGGACUGAGAUACGGCCCAGACUCCUACGGGAGGCAGCAGUGGGGAAUAUUGCACAGUGGGCGGAAGCCUGAUGCAGCAACGCCGCGUGAGGGAUGACGGCCUUCGGGUUGUAAACCGCUUUCGCCUGUGACGAAGCGUGAGUGACGGUAAUGGGUAAAGAAGCACCGGCUAACUACGUG
rnacentral:rRNA from 1 species